GUAGUUUAGGGAGUUUGGAUUUGAUUCAAACAUGGAGAGUUCUAUUCCUAGCAUCUAAAGGAGUUUGAUUUAAUCUAAGACCUAUUUUCUAUUUAAGAAGAGGUGUGGAGAACAGAAACAAGUAAUCAACCCUUGGCUUAGGGGUGGAGAUCCUUUUGGUGUGUGCAUCUCCUCUCUUUUGGGCGUCACCUCUCCCUGGGCUUCUCUCUCCUCUUGGGCAUCCUCCCUCCCCUUGGCAUGAUGGCAUGUGGGCUGUUUCAAGACCUUAAAAUCAGGUCUCAAGGCUUCAUCUCUUUCCUCUUUGAAGAAGACGUUCAUCCCUCUCUUCUAUAGAGUUUGGCGUGCACGUGAUGUAGAGGAUCCGCGC
rnacentral:lncRNA from 1 species